UAGGGAAUCUUCGGCAAUGGACGAAAGUCUGACCGAGCAACGCCGCGUGAGUGAAGAAGGUUUUCGGAUCGUAAAACCCUGUUGGUAGAGAAGAACGUUGGUGAGAGUGGAAAGCUCAUCAAGUGACGGUAACUACCCAGAAAGGGACGGCUAACUACGUGCCA
rnacentral:rRNA from 1 species